AAUUUGUUUGACUCUUUGGAAACAACAAACAGAAGUUUAGUACUUUCAGGAUUUAAUCACUAAUAUCAGUAAGUAUAUGCAUGGCAUGCUGAAACCUGGAGAACCAUGGCAUCUUCAAACCUGGAGAAGAUUCACAGAUACUGGAGUCACCGUGAAUCUGAUGAGUAUACAAAAUUUGAUAAAAAGAAGAGAUGGCUCCCCGAAGCAUUUGACAAUACAAAACACGAUUGAAGAAACUAGAUGUGUUUGUUCUGAGAAACUGGAACUCUCAGCGACUGCACGCUCCUCAGUCAGUCUGACCUGUUCAUAGAUGCUGACAUGCUGUAACUCCUAGGUCAGACACAGAGGACAUGCUAGAGCGCUAUCUUCCUGUCUCUUGCCAACUUCCAUGGGACAACUCCGGGUUGGUUGUAGCUAAGCAUGUACACACAGUGGGUUGCUUAAUGGGAGAGGAAUCUUGAAGUUGGGAAAUGCCAGUCUUCUGUAAUGGGCUACAAGCAAAACUGUUCAGUUGUUUUCCUAGGAGGAGCAGAUAGCAUCUCAACACAGACCUCUUCACAAAGAGAAGCACCUUGCCCUUUGCUGGAAAUCACUCAGAAACAUGAGAGGCCCGUGGAGAAUGGCUUUCAGUAGUAACUACAUCCUCAGAGCAGUCACGUGGAAGCCUAGUAGGAAUCGCUGUCAUUCCAGAUGCAAAACAAUUGCUGUCAUUCCAGAUGCAAAACAAGAUCUAGUGAUGAAAAGUGCAGGACAGGACGUGCCGGCUGAUAAGGAUGUGCUUUCUACGGAGCAGAGCACGAGAGAAUGUAAUGGAUGCCUUGUGAAGUUAAGUGAGGUCAGGAUGAAGCCUGCCUGCCCUUUGUCACUGGCGAACGAUGCAUGUAACAGAGAAACGGAAUACUUCCACAGGCCUCUUCCCACACUCGAAUUAGCAGAGUGCAGUGGUACCCUCCAUGUUGAAGACCCCAGAUAGUCCUGAAUCCCCCAGAUACUCAAGUGUUUCCUCUGCUUCUAUCCUUAUGAUAAGGCUCCCAUUAAAGUCUCAACAAUGACAGAAUAACUAUAAUGGCAACGUGUGACUUUUUAAAAAUGAUGGGAAUGUUAUCUCUCAGUUUAUUCCUGGAAUUUUCCAUCUAAUAUUUUCAGACCAUCGUUGAUUCCUAGCCGCUCAACUGCUGAGAGCAAACUUCAGCUGAGAUGGCAGGGGAGGGAGAACUGUAGCCAAGAAGAAAGGCAGAACAGAAAAGGAUAAAUUCUGCUUUCAAACGCCAGCUACUUCUCAGAGGGUAAGUCUUCAGAGUCUCUGGGUCCCCAGAGCACACAGGCUUUCCUUUGAUGACCCAAGGACAGGGCAGUAUCCAGUCUCUGUGAACACUGUUGGAGGCUCCCUUGUUUGCCAUGCCCCUUCAGCUAAGAAAAACAGCUCAGAAGCCUGGUUGGAUUAAAGGAGGCUUGAAGCCUUUCUCUAGAUUGAUGCGUCUGUGUUUCAAGAACAGAUCUCUGCUAAAGGAUCUCUUGCAAUUUAACCGGAAACAAUUCUGACAUAUAAGCCGAAAAUUCAUGAUAUUUAAAAAUAAUACAUCAGCAAAGGGACUUCUUUUUCCAAAACAAGUGUUUCCGUGCUGCGGAAAGAGACUAAAAUUGUAACCUCUGGGUCAGUCAGCAAAUGGAUGUUUCCAGGCACGGAUUUAUUAGCUGGUCCCUUUGUUCUGCUUAUCCUGGAUGACACACAGACAAAAUGAUGUGAUACUAAGUAGCGAAGAUUGACAGAAUCAGAUGUAUGAGCAAAAGGGAAGGAAAAGAACCCAGAGGUAAGGAAGCAUUUUAUACCCUAUGUGUUUUAUAAGCCUAUGUCCUGCCAUAGGACCCUUUCCUCUGACUCAUUAUGUGUGAAAUGGGACACCCAGCAUGGGCAACAACUGUCUUUCUCUGUGGUUCUGGAAUCCGCCAAGAACCCAUGAAGUUUUGCUUCCUUCAAAGCGGGAAUAAGCUGGGCAUCCUGGGGCCAAUGAAAGGACUUGGGAGAGAAGAGGUAUCUCCCUAGAAAAUGCUUUAAAUGAAAGUCCUCUUUCUCUAAGCAGUGCAUUCGCAGGACUAUCAGUCUGGAUAUUAUAAAACAGGAUCUUAGACGACUUUGUGAGCCUUUAGGAUGUAGCAUUGAAUCAGGAAGCUGGAACACAUUUCUCCACUACAAUAAAGCCAGCAGAGUACUCUAAUGCUAAUGUAAACGUGCAAACAACAAUAAAAGGCUCCUUGAAAAGGACCCCAGACUGGUUGGGUCCUGACUCUUCCAGGCAAAGCCAACUGUAGGAGAGGAAGGUCUCCUGUCUACAGAGUGAACAUUUGCCCGGAAAUUGCAUUUCUCCUUUCUCAGAAACAAGAUGUUUGGACAAAGCUUCAGGGAUUUUUUUUUUCAGGCAAAUAAUCCCUUCAGGUACAGGCCAGUUUGACCUUGGAUUGUGUGUGCCCAGUACUUUGAGCACCAUUUCUGGAAACCUCAUUAUAAAUCAAUAAACAGGACAUCCAUCCA
rnacentral:lncRNA from 1 species